rnacentral:rRNA from 1 species
GGAAUUACUGGGCGUAAAGCGCACGCAGGCGGUUUGUUAAGUCAGAUGUGAAAUCCCCGCGCUUAACGUGGGAACUGCAUUUGAAACUGGCAAGCUAGAGUCUUGUAGAGGGGGGUAGAAUUCCAGGUGUAGCGGUGAAAUGCGUAGAGAUCUGGAGGAAUACCGGUGGCGAAGGCGGCCCCCUGGACAAAGACUGACGCUCAGGUGCGAAAGCGUGGGGAAGCAACAGGAUUAGAUACCCUGGUAGUCCACGCUGUAAACGAUGUCGACUUGGAGGUUGUGCCCUUGAGGCGUGGCUUCCGGAGCUAACGCGUUAAGUCGACCGCCUGGGGAGUACGGCCGCAAGGUUAAAACUCAAAUGAAUUGACGGGGGCCCGCACAAGCGGUGGAGCAUGUGGUUUAAUUCGAUGCAACGCGAAGAACCUUACCUACUCUUGACAUCCACGGAAUUCGCCAGAGAUGGCUUAGUGCCUUCGGGAACCGUGAGACAGGUGCUGCAUGGCUGUCGUCAGCUCGUGUUGUGAAAUGUUGGGUUAAGUCCCGCAACGAGCGCAACCCUUAUCCUUUGUUGCCAGCACGUAAUGGUGGGAACUCAAAGGAGACUGCCGGUGAUAAACCGGAGGAAGGUGGGGAUGACGUCAAGUCAUCAUGGCCCUUACGAGUAGGGCUACACACGUGCUACAAUGGCAUAUACAAAGAGAAGCGAACUCGCGAGAGCAAGCGGACCUCAUAAAGUAUGUCGUAGUCCGGAUUGGAGUCUGCAACUCGACUCCAUGAAGUCGGAAUCGCUAGUAAUCGUAGAUCAGAAUGCUACGGUGAAUACGUUCCUGGGCCUUGUACACACCGCCCGUCACACCAUGGGAGUGGGUUGCAAAAGAAGUAGGUAGCUUAACCUUCGGGAGGGCGCUUACCACUUUGUGAUUCAUGACUGGGGUGAAGUCGUA